rnacentral:rRNA from 1 species
ACCCGCACAAGCAGCGGAGCGUGUGGUUUAAUUCGUUGCUACACGAAGAACCUUACCUGGGUUUGACAUAUAAGUUGUAGGGAACUGAAAAGGGACCAACCUUCGGGGAGCUUAUACAGGUGUUGCAUGGCUGUCGUCAGCUCGUGUCGUGAGAUGUUCGGUUAAGUCCGCUAACGAGCGCAACCCUCGCCGUAUGUUACAAGUGUCAUACGGGACUGCCGGUAAAAGCCGGAGGAAGGUGAGGAUGAUGUCAAGUCAGCAUGACCUUUAUAUCCAGGGCUACACACACGCUACAAUGGUCUGUACAAUUGGUUGCCAAGCCGCGAGGCGGAGCCAAUCCGUAAAGCAGGCCUCAGUUCAGAUUGCAGUCUGCAACUCGACUGCAUGAAGCCGGAGUUGCUAGUAACCGCAGGUCAGCAAUACUGCGGUGAAUACGUUCCCGGGUCUU